UACGGGGGGAGCAAGCGUUGUUCGGAUUUACUGGGCGUAAAGGGCGCGUAGGCGGUCAGCACAAGUCAGUUGUGAAAUCUCCGAGCUUAACUCGGAAAGGUCAACUGAUACUGUGCGACUAGAGUGCGGAAGGGGCAACUGGAAUUCUUGGUGUAGCGGUGAAAUGCGUAGAUAUCAAGAGGACACCUGCGGCGAAGGCGGGUUGCUGGGCCGACACUGACGCUGAGGCGCGAAAGCUAGGGGAGCGAACGGG
rnacentral:rRNA from 1 species